CGUGCCUAACACAUGCAAGUCGAACGGAGCUGCUUUGAUGAAGUUUUCGGAUGGAUUUAAAACAGCUUAGUGGCGGACGGGUGAGUAACGCGUGGGUAACCUGCCUCACACUGGGGGAUAACAGUUAGAAAUAGCUGCUAAUACCGCAUAAGCGCACAGUUCCGCAUGGAACAGUGUGAAAAACUCCGGUGGUGUGAGAUGGACCCGCGUCUGAUUAGCCAGUUGGCGGGGUAACGGCCCACCAAAGCGACGAUCAGUAGCCGGCCUGAGAGGGUGAACGGCCACAUUGGGACUGAGACACGGCCCAAACUCCUACGGGAGGCAGCAGUGGGGAAUAUUGCACAAUGGGGGAAACCCUGAUGCAGCGACGCCGCGUGAGUGAAGAAGUAUUUCGGUAUGUAAAGCUCUAUCAGCAGGGAAGAAAGUGACGGUACCUGAAUAAGAAGCCCCGGCUAACUACGUGCCAGCAGCCGCGGUAAUACGUAGGGGGCAAGCGUUAUCCGGAUUUACUGGGUGUAAAGGGAGCGUAGACGGCAAGGCAAGUCUGAAGUGAAAGCCCGGUGCUUAACGCCGGGACUGCUUUGGAAACUGUUUAGCUGGAGUGCCGGAGAGGUAAGCGGAAUUCCUAGUGUAGCGGUGAAAUGCGUAGAUAUUAGGAAGAACACCAGUGGCGAAGGCGGCUUACUGGACG
rnacentral:rRNA from 1 species